rnacentral:rRNA from 1 species
AGUGAACGCUGGCGGCAGGCCUAAUACAUGCAAGUCGAACGGCAGCACAGCAGAGCUUGCUCUGUGGGUGGCGAGUGGCGGACGGGUGAGGAAUACAUGGGAAUCUGCCCAGUCGUGGGGGAUAACGUAGGGAAACUUACGCUAAUACCGCAUGCGCCCUUCGGGGGAAAGCCGGGGACCUUCGGGCCUGGCGCGAUUGGAUGAGCCCAUGUCGGAUUAGCUAGUUGGCGGGGUAAUGGCCCACCAAGGCGACGAUCCGUAGCUGGUCUGAGAGGAUGAUCAGCCACACUGGAACUGAGACACGGUCCAGACUCCUACGGGAGGCAGCAGUAGGGAAUAUUGGACAAUGGGCGCAAGCCUGAUCCAGCCAUGCCGCGUGAGUGAAGAAGGCCCUCGGGUCGUAAAGCUCUUUUGUCCGGAAAGAAAAGCGCCGGGUUAAUACCCUAGUGUCCUGACGGUACCGGAAGAAUAAGCACCGGUAACUUCGUGCCAGC